UUUCCGUAGGUGAACCUGCGGAAGGAUCAUUAUUGAAUGAAACACUUCUGGCUUUAUGCUGUUGUGCUGGCCCUUUGGGCAAUGUGCACACGGCUCUGGUCACUUGUUUCUUCUGUUCCACCUGUGCACUGCCUGUAGACACGCUGUGUCUAUGAUAUUUGUUAACAUACAACAAUGUUAGUUGGCAUGUUAUAUAUAAUAAUAAAAUAUACAACUUUCAACAACGGAUCUCUUGGCUCUC
rnacentral:misc_RNA from 1 species